GACAGGAGGAGCAAGCGUUAUUCAGCUUGAUUGGGUUUAAAGGGAGCGUAGGCCGUCUGUUAAGCGUGUUGUGAAAUGUAGAUGCUCAACAUCUGAAUUGCAGCGCGAACUGGCAGACUUGAGUGUGCGCAACGUAGGCGGAAUUCGUAGUGUAGCGGUGAAAUGCUUAGAUAUCACGAAGAACUCCAAUUGCGAAGGCAGCUUACGGGAGCACAACUGACGCUGAAGCUCGAAAGUGCGGGUAUCGAAC
rnacentral:rRNA from 1 species